AUUGAACGCUGGCGGCAUGCCUUACACAUGCAAGUCGAACGGCAGCACGGGUGAUUGCACCUGGUGGCGAGUGGCGGACGGGUGAGUAAUACAUCGGAACAUGUCCUGUAGGGGGGGAUAGCCCGGCGAAAGCCGGAUUAAGACCGCAUACGAUCUACGGAUGAGAGCGGGGGACCUUCGGGCCUCGCGCUAUAGGGUUGGCCGAUGGCUGAUUAGCUAGUUGGUGGGGUAAAGGCCUACCAAGGCGACGAUCAGUAGCUGGUCUGAGAGGACGACCAGCCACACUGGGACUGAGACACGGCCCAGACUCCUACGGGAGGCAGCAGUGGGGAAUUUUGGACAAUGGGCGAAAGCCUGAUCCAGCAAUGCCGCGUGUGUGAAGAAGGCCUUCGGGUUGUAAAGCACUUUUGUCCGGAAAGAAAUCCUUGGCCCUAAUACGGUCGGGGGAUGACGGUACCGUAAGAAUAAGCACCGGCUAACUACGUG
rnacentral:rRNA from 1 species